AGGAAGAUGCCUGAAUAAGGGAAUACCCUGAUAGGGUAUAUAAAGUAAUAAAAAGAUUUACUCUUCUUA
rnacentral:tRNA from 1 species